AUAUCAAUAAGCGGAGGAAAAGAAACUAACGAGGAUUCCCCUAGUAACUGCGAGUGAAGCGGGAAAAGCUCAAAUUUAAAAUCUGGCGGUCUUUGGCCGUCCGAGUUGUAGUCUGGAGAAGCGUCUUCUACGCCGGACCGUGUACAAGUCCCUUGGAACAGGGCGUCAUAGAGGGUGAGAAUCCCGUCCAUGACACGGACCGCCGGCGGUUUGUGAUGCGCUCUCAAAGAGUCGAGUUGUUUGGGAAUGCAGCUCAAAACGGGUGGUAAAUUCCAUCUAAAGCUAAAUACUGGCGAGAGACCGAUAGCGAACAAGUACCGUGAGGGAAAGAUGAAAAGCACUUUGGAAAGAGAGUUAAACAGUACGUGAAAUUGCUGAAAGGGAAACGCUUGAAGUCAGUCGCGUCGGCCGGGGCUCAGCCUUGCAUUCGUUUGCUCGGUUUACUUCCCGGUCGACGGGCCAGCGUCGAUUUCGACCGUCGGAGAACGGUCAGGGGAAAGUGGCACCUUCGGGUGUGUUAUAGCCUUUGGUCACAUACGACGGUUGGGAUCGAGGGACGCAGCACGCCUUUAUUGGCCGGGGCAUUCGUGCCCACGUAUCGUGCUUAGGAUGCUGGUGUAAUGGCUUUAAACGACCCGUCUUGAAACACGGACCAAGGAGUCUAACGUGCCUG
rnacentral:rRNA from 1 species